GAUGAACGCUAGCUACAGGCUUAACACAUGCAAGUCGAGGGGAAACGAUAUUGGAAGCUUGCUUCCGAUAGGCGUCGACCGGCGCACGGGUGAGUAACGCGUAUCCAACCUGCCCAUCACUUGGGGAUAACCUUGCGAAAGUAAGACUAAUACCCAAUGAUAUCUCUAGAAGACAUCUGAAAGGGAUUAAAGAUUUAUCGGUGAUGGAUGGGGAUGCGUCUGAUUAGCUUGUUGGCGGGGUAACGGCCCACCAAGGCGACGAUCAGUAGGGGUUCUGAGAGGAAGGUCCCCCACAUUGGAACUGAGACACGGUCCAAACUCCUACGGGAGGCAGCAGUGAGGAAUAUUGGUCAAUGGGCGAGAGCCUGAACCAGCCAAGUAGCGUGCAGGAUGACGGCCCUAUGGGUUGUAAACUGCUUUUAUAAGGGAAUAAAGUGGGAGUCGUGACUCCUUUUGCAUGUACCUUAUGAAUAAGGACCGGCUAAUUCCGUGCCAGCCGCCGCCGCAG
rnacentral:rRNA from 1 species